UACGUAGGUCCCGAGCGUUGUCCGGAUUUAUUGGGCGAAAGCGAGCGCAGGUGGUUUAUUAAGUCUGGUGUAAAAGGCAGUGGCUCAACCAUUGUAUGCAUUGGAAACUGGUAGACUUGAGUGCAGGAGAGGAGAGUGGAAUUCCAUGUGUAGCGGUGAAAUGCGUAGAUAUAUGGAGGAACACCGGUGGCGAAAGCGGCUCUCUGGCCUGUAACUGACACUGAGGCUCGAAAGCGUGGGGAGCAAACAGG
rnacentral:rRNA from 1 species